UUUGCAGAACCGUAGCGAGGAGCUAUGGGCACAUUAGUAUUUGUGUAGUGCCUUGACAGAAGUCCGGUGUCCUCUUCAAUGGCCCCAGAAAGCAGCGCAGGCACCUGGUUAGCUCUGUAGUUCAGAAACAUUCCCUAGCUUAUUUUGUUCCCUGCCAGAGUGUCUGGCAAAAGGGGGAAAAUACUGUAUUCCCUGGGUCUUUGGGGACCAUCACGCCUCCCACAGAAUAUUAGGAAUGUGUUCUUUUCUUCCAGGAGUUUAAAAUUCAGUAAUGUUGCUGUCAUGAUUGAUACCAGUGGUGGAUGUAUCUAGCAAGUAGGAGUAAUUUCCAAACAGUGCUGCUGAGCCUGGUGAUAAAGUAUUUUGUUCAGUGUGCAGAGACAUCUAACCAGGCAGUGGCCGGCAGUUCGAGUCAGACAAGGUCAAAGUAGAAAUAAAGCAUGGGUGGGUUUUUGUUUGUUUGUUUUAACAAUGGCUGUGAUUAACCAUGAGAAAAAGUAACAAAGCGGAGUGGUGAAUUCUCUUUUUUUUUAAGGUAUUCAGUAUAAGGUUGUCUGUUUCCUAUGUAGCAGUGAGGCACUACAGAGAAACUAGGUGAAAACCUUUGGUCUGUGACAUAUAGUGUGAUGAAGCAGAAGACCUCAUUUGCCUUUUGGCCUUUACAACUCCUAAAUAUGGAGAUAUUGUACUGUAAAAUGAAAAAAACCAAUCGAAGUCUGCUUAUAGAAGCAAUCACAGAGGCCGUUCCCUUCUGGGGGGCAGCUAGCUCCUCACGACCUCAUUUCCUUGCACUCCUCCUGGCACGGGAGGGUGUUCAUGUUGUGCUCCCAGGGACACUGUGCACGUGCAAGGGCUGGGCAAGGUGAUCAGGGUCCCUGCAGGGUGAGGAAAGGCCAAGUGCUACGCAGUGAUGCUCAGCUCUCUGGAUCUUCACGGACAGAGGAAAACGUGCCCUGAACAGUGUCUGAGCAAAGCUUUGUUGGCAUGACUCAUCCACCCUUGGGGUUUCUCCAGAUCUGACAGAGAAGUUUUCCCUGCACCUCCCGAGCAAUUGCCCUAAAGACCCCGAGAAUGAAGCACAGAAGAGCCCUGAUAUUCUCCCACGGACUGACUCUACCAGGGACUCUCUGGAUCUCUCGAUGGAUGAUAUUUCUGGCAAAGAGCAAACAUCUCAUCAAGCAACUAUUUCCACAUUCACUGUGCGCAGAUGCAGAUUUAGAAAGCAGAUAAAAAAAAGAAAAAACAUGGGAAGGAGCCUGAAGGUGGUGACUACAGCAAGCAAGAACAUUUUGAAGACAAGGACAAGCCUUCCCCCUGACAGGUAGCUCAUGCUGGAAAGCCAUAGGGACUGCAAGAAGAAAACAAACCAACCAACUGAAAAAAAAAAACAACCCACAAACAGAAAUGGACGAAGCAGGCUGUUACUGUAGCACUUCGGUGCGCCCCAGCCCUAGGUGCACCAACCAGCCUUAACUGCCCUGAGGAGCCUCGUCUGGGACCUCUACCAGAACCUGCCCAGUGGCCCAGGAGCUGCACAGAAGGAUUAUCAUUCCCUGGCUUACUCCACAAACACUGAAGCCAAUUGAGAAGGCGUAUUGGAUUUAAAGCCUUUGCACAGUCCCUUUGCCUGGAAUGAUACUCUAUUCAAGAAGGUAAGAAAGACAUUACUUACACAGAUUGCCACUGGCAGUCUUACACACUGAUUUCAAUUAAGGUAUUCUUUUGUGGCAGAGAUUCUCAAGUUGUUUCUGCAGUAAUUUCAGUAAUACCUGCUGAUCUGGAUGUUAUGCCUUUAUCCCACUCCUUAUAUCCUUCUGUUUCUCUUGUACUCCCCAUACAUACACCCCAAACUUUCCACCCCUGUUUAUAAUGCACCUGAGCAAGCCAGGUGUUUCUUGUUUUACCUCAAUUCUUAGCUGGUGGAGCUGAUGUUAAUAGAUGUGGGGAUCAUGAGCAUGCUGUAAAUAAAACAGUAGUAGUUCCUGAUCUGGGAACAGCAGCUGCAUAGAGUGGCAAGCACCUGCCAGUCACGUGAAGGGGAUUGUGUAGCGAAGGGUAAGAAUUUCUGUUUCAUGGGGCAUCCUUCACGGAGGACCUGCUUCAGGGAGACUACAAACAGCUGAAAUGACCUUCAGCAGCUGAUGGAACUAUUUAUGUGUCUGUCCCAUUACAAAAAAAAGCUGCAGGGCUGGUCUUUUGCACAACAAAGUCCUUGUUCUCUAACUGGCUGUAUCACGAGCUCCUCGAUUGCUACUGGCUUCAGCAGCAGAGAGGGGAGUGCUCUGUACAGCUGGAAAGUCAGCCCUCUGGAUGCGUGAUCCUGGCCGGACCACUUCCAUUACCUGUGCCUGCCUUCGCAUGUCUGCAGUAUAGAUCUGAAAAUGCUUAUCUCUUGGGGAAGUGUUCUGCCUUGUAUACAUGUGGAGUGCCAUAUAAAAUCAGCUCUGGAUGAGUUUCU